GACGAACGCUGGCGGCGUGCUUAACACAUGCAAGUCGAACGCUGAAGCUUGGUGCUUGCACUGGGUGGAUGAGUGGCGAACGGGUGAGUAAUACGUGAGUAACCUGCCCUUGACUCUGGGAUAAGCCUGGGAAACUGGGUCUAAUACUGGAUACGACAUGCCACUGCAUGGUGGUGUGUGGAAAGGGUUUUACUGGUUUUGGAUGGGCUCACGGCCUAUCAGCUUGUUGGUGGGGUAAUGGCCUACCAAGGCGACGACGGGUAGCCGGCCUGAGAGGGUGACCGGCCACACUGGGACUGAGACACGGCCCAGACUGCUACGGGAGGCAGCGGUGGAGAAUAUUGCACAAUGGGCGGAAGCCUGAUGCAGCGACGCCGCGUGAGGGAUGACGGCUUUCGGGUUGUAAACCUCUUUCAGCACGGAAGAAGCGAGAGUGACGGUACGUACAGAAGAAGCGCCGGCUAACUACGUG
rnacentral:rRNA from 1 species